AUUUGCGCCGAAGGUAUACCGGUAAGGAGUGCUGGAGCGAAUAGAAGUGAGCAUGCAGGCAUGAGUAGCGAUAAUUAAUGUGAGAAUCAUUAACGCCGUAAACCCAAGGUUUCCUACGCGAUGCUCGUCAUCGUAGGGUUAGUCGGGUCCUAAGUCGAGUCCGAAAGGGGUAGACGAUGGCAAAUUGGUUAAUAUUCCAAUACCAACAUUAGUGUGCGAUGGAAGGACGCUUAGGGCUAAGGGGGCUAGCGGAUGGAAGUGCUAGUCUAAGGUCGUAGGAGGUUAUACAGGCAAAUCCGUAUAACAAUACUCCGAGAACUGAAAGGCUUUUUGAAGUCUUCGGAUGGAUAGAAGAACCCCUGAUGCCAUCGAGCCAAGAAAAGUUUCUAAGUUUAGCUAAUGUUGCCCGUACCGUAAACCGACACAGGUGGGUGGGAUGAGUAUUCUAAGGCGCGUGGAAGAACUCUCUUUAAGGAACUCUGCAAAAUAGCACCGUAUCUUCGGUAUAAGGUGUGGUUCGCUUCGUAUUAGGAUUUACUCCGAAAGCGAAGAAACUUACAACAAAGAGUCCCUCCCGACUGUUUACCAAAAACACAGCACUCUGCUAACUCGUAAGAGGAUGUAUAGGGUGUGACGCCUGCCCGGUGCUCGAAGGUUAAUUGAUGGGGUUAGCAUUAGCGAAGCUCUUGAUCGAAGCCCGAGUAAACGGCGGCCGUAACUAUAACGGUCCUAAGGUAGCGAAAUUCCUUGUCGGUUAAAUACCGACCUGCAUGAAUGGCGUAACGAGAUGGGAGCUGUCUCAAAGAGGGAUCCAGUGAAAUUGUAGUGGAGGUGAAAAUUCCUCCUACCCGCGGCAAGACGGAGAGACCCCGUGGACCUUUACUACAGCUUGACACUGCUAUUUGGAUAAGAAUGUGCAGGAUAGGUGGGAGGCUUUGAGUAUAUGACGCCAGUUGUAUAUGAGCCAUUGUUGAGAUACCACUCUUUCUUAUUUGGGUAGCUAACCAGCUUGAGUUAUCCUCAAGUGGGACAAUGUCUGGUGGGUAGUUUGACUGGGGCGGUCGCCUCCCAAAUAAUAACGGAGGCUUACAAAGGUUGGCUCAGAACGGUUGGAAAUCGUUCGUAGAGUAUAAAGGUAUAAGCCAGCUUAACUGCAAGACAUACAAGUCAAGCAGAGACGAAAGUCGGUCUUAGUGAUCCGGUGGUUCUGUGUGGAAGGGCCAUCGCUCAAAGGAUAAAAGGUACCCCGGGGAUAACAGGCUGAUCUCCCCCAAGAGCUCACAUCGACGGGGAGGUUUGGCACCUCGAUGUCGGCUCAUCGCAUCCUGGGGCUGGAGCAGGUCCCAAGGGUAUGGCUGUUCGCCAUUUAAAGCGGUACGCGAGCUGGGUUCAGAACGUCGUGAGACAGUUCGGUCCCUAUCUGCCGUGGGCGUAAGAAGAUUGAAGAGAUUUGACCCUAGUACGAGAGGACCGGGUUGAACAAACCACUGGUGUAGCUGUUGUUCUGCCAAGAGCAUCGCAGCGUAGCUAAGUUUGGAAAGGAUAAACGCUGAAAGCAUCUAAGCGUGAAGCCAACUCUAAGAUGAAUCUUCUCUAAGCUCUCUAGAAGACUACUAGUUUGAUAGGCUGGGUGUGUAAUGGAUGAAAGUCCUUUAGCUGACCAGUACUAAUAGAGCGUUUGGCUUAUCUUUAAUAAAGCAU
rnacentral:rRNA from 1 species